rnacentral:rRNA from 1 species
AUGAACGCUAGCGGCAGGCUUAAUACAUGCAAGUUGAGGGGCAGCAUGAUAUACGCGAGUAUAUUGAUGGCGACCGGCGGACGGGUGAGUAAUAGGUAGGAGACCUACCUCAUACAGGGGGAUAGCAUAGAGAAAUCUGUGGUAAUACCCCAUGAGGUUAUAUGAAUAGAGGCAUAUAAUCAAAGCAUAAGCGAUUAUGCGGUAUGAGGAGGGGCCUACUGACCAUUAGCUAGUUGGUGAGGUAAGGGCUCACCAAGGCGAAGAUGGUUAGGGGUUUUGAGAGAGAGACCCCCCACAUUGGAACUGAGAGACGGUCCAGACUCCUACGGGAGGCAGCAGUAGGGAAUAUUGGGCAAUGGGCGAAAGCCUGACCCAGCCAUGCCGCGUGAAGGAAGACGGCCUUAUGGGUUGUAAACUUCUUUACUACGCGAAUAGAGGUUAGUACGAGAUACUAAUAGGAAGGUAGUGUAGUAAAAAGCACCGGCUAACUCCGUG